rnacentral:lncRNA from 1 species
ACUCUCAACCAAUCAGAAAAAGGGGUAGAUUCAUCUUCUUCAACACCCACAUAACAACAACAGGCCCUCUUCUCUCUUAAUCUAUACUUCAAACACACACACACAUGAAAUCAAAAUCUUGAUCAUCUUUCUCUCAACAUAGCAGACACCCUAACACCCUUGAAACAUCCCAGCCGCACCCCCUUUCCCUCUCCGUCGCGUUUUCGAACUAGCGACACACAGGGAGGAGCCGGAGACGACAGUGGUAGCUGGCCACCGUGAGUGGUGGUCCUGCGAAGGUACGACGGUGGCGGCAUAGACCCGACGGGUCAGAAUUUCAAAGGAAACCACCACCACAGCAGCCGCGCUGUGGUGGAUGGCGUCGGGUGGUUGUAUCGGACGAAAGAGGGGGAGAAAGUGACGAGAGAAUGAGAGAGAGAGAGAAAGAGAGACCGGGGAGGUAAAGGGGAAGCCGACAGCUCCGGCACCGCUGCUCACGGCGGCGGCUUGACGAUGAUGGCGGUGGAGAUGUUUCCCUUCGACGUUUUUCCUGACAAACACCGGUAAGCACCCAUCCCUCUUCCCCAUUUUCUUUUAUUUUUCUGAAGAAUUGAUGAUGAUGAUUUGCUGUUGUCGAUGGUGCUGAUGAUUUGUUGUUCAAGAUGAUGAUGAUGAUGUCAGUUUAGAAAAAUGAAGUGUGGGUAAGCAGUCAACGGACCCGGUUCGGGUCAGCAGCAGUCAAACAAGUCAAAGAUGGUCAACUGAGGACCAGUAUAGUUUAAACGUAGCGAGUUAUUAUUACGUUAGUUUAGAUUUUAUUUAGUGAACGCCCACCGAGCUCGAACCGAUACUUUAAUGACUUGUUACGUUUGGCAUAUUGAUAUAAAUUUUAUAUAUUGUGUUUAUAUUGUUGAAAAUUGUUGAGUUUUGAAAAGAUAACGACAACUUGAGUGGUCGGUUUAUUCCAAAAACAGAGGAAACUCUGUCCGUUUUCCGUAAAAACGUAAAACGUAAAUAGUUUAACAUAAAACGUAAAAACGUAAAACGUAAAA